rnacentral:rRNA from 1 species
GAUGAACGCUGGCGGCGUGCCUAAUACAUGCAAGUCGAGCGAACAGACGAUGAGCUUUCUCCUUUGACGUUAGCGGCUGACGGGUGAGUAACACGUGGGUAACCUACCUCUAUUACUUGGAUAACUUCGUGAAACCGGAUCUACUACCGCAUAAUAUUUCCAACCGCAUGGUUCGAUAGUUCAACAUGCCUUUCCUAUCACUUAUAGAUGGACUUGCGCCGUCUUAGCUAGUUGGUAAGGUACCGGCUUACCAAGGCAACGGUACGUAGCCGACCUGAGAGGGUGAACGGGAAAAAUGGAAAUGAGAAAAGGGGCAGAAUCCUAAGGGAGGCAACAGGAGGGAAACUUCCGAAAAGGGCGGAAGCCUGAAGGAGGAAAGACGGGGGAGGGAAGAAGGGCUUCGGAGCGGAAAAGUCUGUUAGUAGGGAAGAACAAACGGGAAAGUAACUGUGCACGGCUUGAAGGGAACUAAUCAGAAAGGCACGGCUAAAUACGUG